rnacentral:rRNA from 1 species
AUUGAACGCUGGCGGCAGGCCUAACACAUGAAAGUCGAGCGAGCGGCGGACGGGUGAGUAAUAUAUGGGGAUCUGCCGGAUAGAGGGGGAUAACUACUGGAAAAGGUGGCUAAGACCGGAUACUAUCGGAGGAACCAAUGUGGGAUUAGAUAGUAGGUGGGGUAAAGGCUCACCUAGGCGACGAUCUCUAGCUGGUCUGAGAGGAUGACCAGCCACACGGGGACUGAGACGCGCCCCAGACUCCUACGGGAGGCAGCAGUGGGGAAUAUUUCACAAUGGGCGCAAGCCUGAUGCAGCCAUGCCGCGUGUAUGAAGAAGGCCUUAGGGUUGUAAAGUACUUUCAGCGGGGAGGCGUUACCCGCAGAAGAAGCACCGGCUAACUCCGUGCCAGCAGCCGCGGUAAUAC